UGGGGAAUUUUCCGCAAUGGGCGAAAGCCUGACGGAGCAAUACCGCGUGAGGGAGGAAGGCUUUUGGGUUGUAAACCUCUUUUCUUAGGGAAGAAGAAAGUGACGGUACCUAAGGAAUCAGCAUCGGCUAACUCCGUGCCAGCAGCCGCGGUAAUACGGAGGGAGCUAGCGUUGUUCGGAAUUACUGGGCGUAAAGCGCGCGUAGGCGGCUAUCCAAGUCAGGGGUGAAAUCCCGGGGCUCAACCCCGGAACUGCCCUUGAAACUAGGUAGCUAGAAUACUGGAGAGGUGAGUGGAAUUCCGAGUGUAGAGGUGAAAUUCGUAGAUAUUCGGAAGAACACCAGUGGCGAAGGCGACUCACUGGACAGUUAUUGACGCUGAGGUGCGAAAGCGUGGGGAGCAAACAGGAUUAGAUACCCGCGUAGUCC
rnacentral:rRNA from 1 species